AAUAUCAUCAAUGAAGAUCACCAUCGAAGAUCAACUCUGAAGAUCAACACAGAAGAUCAACACUGAAGAUCACCAUCGAAGAUCAACACUGAAAAUUAAAUCUGAAGAUCAACUCUGGAGAUCACCACCGAAAAUCAACACUGAAGAUCAACUCUGAAUAUCAUCAAUGAAGAUCACUAUCGAAGAUCACCACCGAAGAUCCACACUGAAGAUCAUCACUGAAGAUCACCACCGAAGAUCAGCAUUGAAGAUCAACUCUGAAGAUCAUCAAUGAAGAUCACCAUCGAAGAUCCACACUGAAGAUCACCACCGAAGAUCAGCAUUGAAGAUCAACUCUGAAGAUCAUCAAUGAAGAUAAUCAAUGAAGAUCAACACUGAAGAUCACCACCGAAGAUCCACACUGAAGAUCGCCACCGAAGAUCACGACCGAAAAUCAACUCUGAAGAUCAACUCUGAAGAUCAUCACUGAAGAUCAACACUGAAAAUCAACUCUGAAGAUCAACUCUGAAGAUCAUCACUGAAGAUCAACACUGAAAAUCAACUCUGAAGAUCAUCAAUGAAGAUCAUCACCGAAGAUCACCAUUGAAGAUCAUCACCGAAGAUCACCACCGAAGAUCCACACUGAAGAUCACCACCGAAGAUCAACACUGAAGAUCACCAUCGAAGAUCACCACCGAAGAUCCACACUGAAGAUCGCCACCGAAGAUCACGACCGAAAAUCAACUCUGAAGAUCAACUCUGAAGAUCAUCACUGAAGAUCAACACUGAAAAUCAACUCUGAAGAUCAUCAAUGAAGAUCAUCACCGAAGAUCACCAUUGAAGAUCAUCACCGAAGAUCACCACCGAAGAUCCACACUGAAGAUCACCACCGAAGAUCAACACUGAAGAUCAACUCUGAAUAUCAUUAAUGAAGAUCAACUCUGAAGAUCACCAUCUAGGAACCGUUAUAACCAUCACAGUUCCAGUAGAAAACACCAUAGCCGUGAUAAACAUAAUUCUCAUAGCGCAAGGAGACCUCAUUACCAUGAGCUGAUACAAAUUCUUUAUGACUUUAGCGAAUACAUGAGGCCGAUAGUAAUCGAUCCGAUGAUGACAAUUCGCGCUUCGAUGCCACUCGUCCGUGGAAGGGUAUUACCAAUGGACCUGAACGACUUCUUUGACUGAUAUAUUUAUAAGUAGCAUUGAGCAUGAUUGCUACUUGGUUGGUGAUCGCUUAGCCUCUAGAGCUUCGUCCGUACCACAAACUGUACUGGCAUAGGUUUUCUCUGUGGUUUCCCUAUGCCGCUACACCUACAUCGCAAGGCGAGGUCGUAGAGCAUCAUCAUAAUGAUGCAGUACAAUAAGUAUAAGUCGGGCCACAGCCGCAUAAAAAGGGUAAAAAAGCUUAGAGUAUAAAAAGGAAAGAGCUUAGAACGAUAGAAGAUAAAAAUUGUAAAAAAAACUGUAAAAAUUGUACAAUUAAAGCACAAUAAAUUAUGCCUUUAAUCUUGAAAAUGUUUUUAAAAGCAUGCCUAAGUUUUAUAAAUAUUUAUAAGCCAUUGGAAGACUUUUGUGUUAUGGAAUGUGAUUUAAGGUCAUCAUAAAUCUUUGAAAGUUUUGUUUAAAUUCAAAUACAGUAAAUAAAUAAAAGAAAAAGGAUUUUGUGGAAAAAAAAAAAAAAUAGUAUUUUUGAUGGACAUUUAAACAAUUUUAUUUGUAGUUUGAAAUAAUUUAAUGUUUACAAAAAAAUUCGAUUUAUAAAAUAUAUAAAAGAUUCACUGUGAUUUUGGUGACCUGAUAAAUGAUUAAAUGGCCAUCGGCUUUUAAUAUUCUGAAAAAUAUAAAAUUUGUAUUAAUGGAUUUGCGUAAAUUUAAAUUUGGUGGGUGGUUUUCAUUCAUUAGCAAUACUUGGGAAUAUGUAUCUAUUUUGUAAUACUGUUUAAAAAAUAUAUCCA